GUGAGUCAUCGAAUCUUUGAACGCACCUUGCGCUCCUUGGUAUUCCGAGGAGCAUGCCUGUUUGAGUGUCAUGAAUAUCUCAACUCUUCAUUUGCCUCAUCGCAUUUAUUGAGCUUGGACUUGGAGGUUGCUGGCGAAAGUCAGCUCCUCUCUAAAUGCAUUAGCAGGAUAGAUGAGUACAGAUCCUCAGUGUGAUAAUGUCUACGCUGUGAGUCCGUACUCGAAUGUUACCACAAACCUCUGAAAAGAGUGUGUCUACUAUCAUUGAUAGAAGUGUAGCUGCUAUUCUCUGCUUCAAACCGUCUGCAAAGACAAACUCAUUCAACUUUGACCUCAAAUCAGGUAGGACUACCCGCUGAACUUAA
rnacentral:rRNA from 1 species